UGCACACAGUACUGUAAGUCGCUUUGUAUAAAAGUGUCUGCUAAAUGACAUAUU
rfam:Salmo salar isolate Sally breed double haploid chromosome ssa19, whole genome shotgun sequence.